rnacentral:rRNA from 1 species
GUCGAGCGAACAGACGAGGAGCUUGCUCCUCUGACGUUAGCGGCGGACGGGUGAGUAACACGUGGAUAACCUACCUAUAAGACUGGGAUAACUUCGGGAAACCGGAGCUAAUACCGGAUAAUAUAUUGAACCGCAUGGUUCAAUAGUGAAAGACGGUUUUGCUGUCACUUAUAGAUGGAUCCGCGCCGCAUUAGCUAGUUGGUAAGGUAACGGCUUACCAAGGCAACGAUGCGUAGCCGACCUGAGAGGGUGAUCGGCCACACUGGAACUGAGACACGGUCCAGACUCCUACGGGAGGCAGCAGUAGGGAAUCUUCCGCAAUGGGCGAAAGCCUGACGGAGCAACGCCGCGUGAGUGAUGAAGGUCUUCGGAUCGUAAAACUCUGUUAUUAGGGAAGAACAAAUGUGUAAGUAACUAUGCACGUCUUGACGGUACUUAAUCAGAAAGCCACGGCUAACUACGUGCCAGCAGCCGCGGUAAUACGUAGGUGGCAAGCGUUAUCCGGAAUUAUUGGGCGUAAAGCGCGCGUAGGCGGUUUUUUAAGUCUGAUGUGAAAGCCCACGGCUCAACCGUGGAGGGUCAUUGGAAACUGGAAAACUUGAGUGCAGAAGAGGGAAGUGGAAUUCCAUGUGUAGCGGUGAAAUGCGCAGAGAUAUGGAGGAACACCAGUGGCGAAGGCGACUUUCUGGUCUGUAACUGACGCUGAUGUGCGAAAGCGUGGGGAUCAAACAGGAUUA